UCACUCCCCAUGCUGAAAUUCUUUUAUGAAGAAGGAAUCAGAAAAAAAGGCAUACAAAUAGGAGAAAGUUAGAAGCUUGAGAAGUAUGACAGAGAUGGGAACUGCUUUACAACAAGUCCAAAUGCUAGACUUAAAGCAGAUUGUCCUAUUAUCCAUCUUUGAGAGGCAAAUCACAACCUUGCAAAAUGAGACUGCUACUCCAAG